UCUUUUUUUUUUUUGAUAUGUUUUGAUCAUGUAUCAAUAUAUUAUAACGUGUGAGACUUAUUAUUUUUCACAUAUCUUUCCCUCCACGCAAGUAUUCCCCAGUUCCCCUCGCCAACACAGUUCCAUUUAAUUUUAUUCAAGAUUUGGUAGAGAAACGGAUUUGAAUAUGUAUGGCAGUCAAGACGAGAACGAGAUUGUCGAAUGUAACGUGAUAAAUAAAUGUCUUAUGAUAUUACGUUAAGCUAAGGGUGGGUUCACCGUUGAGCUUUAAGAGGAUUAGAAGGGCUUUAACCUUCCGUACGAAUUCGAUUGGAUUCGAAUCGCUUUCGUUUCCCGCCCAAAUCAAUCCCUUGACGAUUCAAUAAUGGAAAAUGUCGACCUCAUGCACAUUGCCGGCUAUAACAGUGACUGUCAAAGUUACGAUCAUUUUGACAGGUCCCUACCCACCGUUCGUUAGAUGAUCUUAACCUUCCAACGAAGCGAAAUAUAAGAAGGCAGGCAGUGAACAGAUCAAAUUCGAUAUGCUGACCCUGCACAUUUGAAAUACGAAUGAAAUUUUGGAAUAGAAUACGACCGAGUCAAAUUACAGAGGGAAUUUUAGCUAUUCGAAUAUAUUGGAUUUUGAAGUGCAGAAGAAACACUCGAGCUAUGGAAAUUUCCAAGGAGCGCAAAACAGGAUGCGAAUACAUCCGACCGGAAGUUCAUAUAGACUGUGGAAAUCUAUUGAACGUUUUCAUGGAUCGACCUUCCGUUGAAUUUCGGUUAGGCUCAAUUGGCAUUCAAAAUCGCUUCUUCCGCUCAACUAUUAACUAUCUAUACUGGUGAAACUCAUCCCUGCCAUUGGACUUUCUUGGAGUGCAAAACUCAAAGGAUCAACUUUAUGAACGCUUCAUAGGUAGACAAAUAAUCUACCUUAAUUUUGUCACAUUUUCAAAGAUUCAAGAUAGAAAACCCAGCCAGUAUGAGAGACAGAGGAAAAUAUUGUUAGGCAUAUAAAAAAAAAUAUGAUGAAACAUUAAUAAAUAAAAAAUCAAAUCCGGUGAGACAUAUUUAAUAAGAAAACGAGGAAACGCGAUGAAGAUGGAAAAAGAUUGUAUUAAGAAAACUAAAUAAUUCAUGGGCUCGUCUCUUUAUGUUGUUUUCAAUUGUUUGGGUAAAAAAAGGAAAUGGAAAAAAAGUCAUUAAAUAAUCACAGGUAUCUCUGUCUCUGAUUAAACCUAUUGGUUGACGAUGUAUGAUGGGAAAAAGUCACGCUACUCGUUAGGACAAAGUUGGAAGUGCAAACGCAGGCGAGUUUACAGAAUUGGCAAAAACCCUGUUAAUUAGGGAUUAGUCACUGGGGAGCUAAUUGACAUGUCCCGUGAGGAGUGACUGGAUAACAUAAGAGUGUACCUACGUUACAAAAAAAGAAAAAAAAAACGUAAAAGCAAAUUUUAAAAAAUAGAAAAAGGAUAUUUCCAUACAAUUUUCAACAACUGUGAUAUUCAAUUGUGACCAAGACUUCCUCUGGCUUUGCGAAAUGAACACGAACGUAAAUUAACACACCUGUGAACAUACAUAGGUGCUUUAAGAUGCAGCGAUGGCGAAUAAAAGCCAAAGGAAUAAAAAUCCACAUAAUAAACCCCAACACAAUUUCACAUGCAACUGCAAUAUGAAACUCCAUUAACCCAAGGGGAAAAUAUUUUCUAGAGCUUACAGCCUUUCAAUUUUGUCUUUUCAAAUCGUAUAUAAGUAUUUAUACAUUUUUAAGGCAAAACUACCUUGAGUCUUACGUAACCCCCACUUUUUUUCAAUCAGUCAUAA